rnacentral:rRNA from 1 species
GCACUAGAAGCCGAUGAAGGACGUUACUAACGACGAUAUGCUUUGGGGAGCUGUAAGUAAGCUUUGAUCCAGAGAUUUCCGAAUGGGGAAACCCAGCAUGAGUUAUGUCAUGUUAUCGAUAUGUGAAUACAUAGCAUAUCAGAAGGCACACCCGGAGAACUGAAACAUCUUAGUACCCGGAGGAAGAGAAAGAAAAUUCGAUUCCCUUAGUAGCGGCGAGCGAAACGGGAAGAGCCCAAACCAACAAGCUUGCUUGUUGGGGUUGUAGGACACUCUAUACGGAGUUACAAAGGACGACAUUAGACGAAUCAUCUGGAAAGAUGAAUCAAAGAAGGUAAUAAUCCUGUAGUCGAAAAUGUUGUCUCUCUUGAGUGGAUCCUGAGUACGACGGAGCACGUGAAAUUCCGUCGGAAUCUGGGAGGACCAUCUCCUAAGGCUAAAUACUCUCUAGUGACCGAUAGUGAACCAGUACCGUGAGGGAAAGGUGAAAAGCACCCCGGAAGGGGAGUGAAAUAGAACCUGAAACCGUGUGCUUACAAGUAGUCAGAGCCCGUUAAUGGGUGAUGGCGUGCCUUUUGUAGAAUGAACCGGCGAGUUACGAUUUGAUGCAAGGUUAAGCAGUAAAUGUGGAGCCGUAGCGAAAGCGAGUCUGAAUAGGGCGUUUAGUAUUUGGUCGUAGACCCGAAACCAGGUGAUCUACCCUUGGUCAGGUUGAAGUUCAGGUAACACUGAAUGGAGGACCGAACCGACUUACGUUGAAAAGUGAGCGGAUGAACUGAGGGUAGCGGAGAAAUUCCAAUCGAACCUGGAGAUAGCUGGUUCUCUCCGAAAUAGCUUUAGGGCUAGCCUCAAGUGAUGAUUAUUGGAGGUAGAGCACUGUUUGGACGAGGGGCCCCUCUCGGGUUACCGAAUUCAGACAAACUCCGAAUGCCAAUUAAUUUAACUUGGGAGUCAGAACAUGGGUGAUAAGGUCCGUGUUCGAAAGGGAAACAGCCCAGACCACCAGCUAAGGUCCCAAAAUAUAUGUUAAGUGGAAAAGGAUGUGGCGUUGCCCAGACAACUAGGAUGUUGGCUUAGAAGCAGCCAUCAUUUAAAGAGUGCGUAAUAGCUCACUAGUCGAGUGACACUGCGCCGAAAAUGUACCGGGGCUAAACAUAUUACCGAAGCUGUGGAUUGUCCUUUGGACAAUGGUAGGAGAGCGUUCUAAGGGCGUUGAAGCAUGAUCGUAAGGACAUGUGGAGCGCUUAGAAGUGAGAAUGCCGGUGUGAGUAGCGAAAGACGGGUGAGAAUCCCGUCCACCGAUUGACUAAGGUUUCCAGAGGAAGGCUCGUCCGCUCUGGGUUAGUCGGGUCCUAAGCUGAGGCCGACAGGCGUAGGCGAUGGAUAACAGGUUGAUAUUCCUGUACCACCUAUAAUCGUUUUAAUCGAUGGGGGGACGCAGUAGGAUAGGCGAAGCGUGCGAUUGGAUUGCACGUCUAAGCAGUAAGGCUGAGUAUUAGGCAAAUCCGGUACUCGUUAAGGCUGAGCUGUGAUGGGGAGAAGACAUUGUGUCUUCGAGUCGUUGAUUUCACACUGCCGAGAAAAGCCUCUAGAUAGAAAAUAGGUGCCCGUACCGCAAACCGACACAGGUAGUCAAGAUGAGAAUUCUAAGGUGAGCGAGCGAACUCUCGUUAAGGAACUCGGCAAAAUGACCCCGUAACUUCGGGAGAAGGGGUGCUCUUUAGGGUUAACGCCCAGAAGAGCCGCAGUGAAUAGGCCCAAGCGACUGUUUAUCAAAAACACAGGUCUCUGCUAA